UACGUAGGGGGCGAGCGUUGUCCGGAUUUAUUGGGCGUAAAGAGCGUGUAGGCGGCUUGGUAGGUCCGCUGUGAAAACUCGGGGCUCAACCCCGAGAGGUCGGUGGAAACCAUCUGGCUAGAGUCCGGAAGAGGAGAGUGGAAUUCCCGGUGUAGCGGUGAAAUGACGCAGAUAUCGGGAGGAACACCAGUGGCGAAGGCGGCAUCCUGGACCGGCAUUGACGCUGAACAGCGAAAGCUAGGGGAGCAA
rnacentral:rRNA from 1 species